GAUGGGGCCCGCACAAGCGGUGGAGCAUGUGGUUUAAUUCGAUGCAACGCGAAGAACCUUACCAGGUCUUGACAUCUGUGGAACCUCUAUGAAAGUAGAGGGUGCCUUCGGGAGCCACAAGACAGGUGGUGCAUGGUUGUCGUCAGCUCGUGUCGUGAGAUGUUGGGUUAAGUCCCGCAACGAGCGCAACCCCUAUUGUUAGUUGCCAUCAUUCAGUUGGGCACUCUAGCGAGACUGCCGGUAAUAAACCGGAGGAAGUGGGGAUGACGUCAAAUCAUCAUGCCCCUUAUGACCUGGGCUACACACGUGCUACAAUGGUUGGUACAACGAGUUGCGAGUCGGUGACGGCGAGCUAAUCUCUUAAAGCCAAUCUCAGUUCGGAUUGUAGGCUGCAACUCGCCUACAUGAAGUCGGAAUCGCUAGUAAUCGCGGAUCAGCACGCCGCGGUGAAUACGUUCCCGGGCCUU
rnacentral:rRNA from 1 species